rnacentral:rRNA from 1 species
UAUCCUGGCUCAGGAUGAACGCUAGCGGCAGGCCUAAUACAUGCAAGUCGGACGGGAUUUGGGAGCUUGCUUCCAAUGAGAGUGGCGCACGGGUGCGUAACACGUAUGUAACCUACCUUGUUCAGGGGGAUAGCCUCUCGAAAGAGAGAUUAAGACCGCAUAAAAUCACAUUGCAGCAUUGCAAAAUGAUCAAAUAUUUAUAGGAACAAGAUGGGCAUGCGGAACAUUAGCUAGUUGGUAAGGUAACGGCUUACCAAGGCUACGAUGUUUAGGGGAUCUGAGAGGAUGACCCCCCACACUGGUACUGAGACACGGACCAGACUCCUACGGGAGGCAGCAGUAAGGAAUAUUGGUCAAUGGGCGGAAGCCUGAACCAGCCAUGCCGCGUGCAGGAAGACGGCCCUACGGGUUGUAAACUGCUUUUAUACGGGAAUAAACCUCAGUAUGUAUACUGAGCUGAAUGUACUGUAAGAAUAAGGAUCGGCUAACUCCGUG